GACGAACGCUGGCGGCGUGCUUAACACAUGCAAGUCGAACGGAAAGGCCCUGCUUUUGUGGGGUGCUCGAGUGGCGAACGGGUGAGUAACACGUGAGUAACCUGCCCUUGACUUUGGGAUAACUUCAGGAAACUGGGGCUAAUACCGGAUAGGAGCUCCUGCUGCAUGGUGUGGGUUGGAAAGUUUCGGCGGUUGGGGAUGGACUCGCGGCUUAUCAGCUUGUUGGUGGGGUAGUGGCUUACCAAGGCUUUGACGGGUAGCCGGCCUGAGAGGGUGACCGGCCACAUGGGGACUGAGAUACGGCCCAGACUCCUACGGGAGGCAGCAGUGGGGAAUAUUGCACAAUGGGCGGAAGCCUGAUGCAGCAACGCCGCGUGCGGGAUGACGGCCUUCGGGUUGUAAACCGCUUUCGCCUGUGACGAAGCGUGAGUGACGGUAAUGGGUAAAGAAGCACCGGCUAACUACGUG
rnacentral:rRNA from 1 species